GGGCCGUUGUAAGGGCCUCUCCCCCCAUCCGAUCUUUAAGUAAUCGGAUCUUCGACUUUGCUCAUGUUAAGACGAGGUUCUCCUCCUGUUCCGAAUAUGGCUGUGGGGGCACAUAAGGGCAGUUGUAAGGGCCUCUCCCCCAUCUGAUCUUUAAAUAACCAGACCUUCGACUUUGUUCGUAUUAGAAUGAGGUCCUCCUCCUGUUCCUAACAUGC
rnacentral:lncRNA from 1 species